rnacentral:lncRNA from 1 species
CACAAAUAUUUGAAAAAUUUCAUUUUAUGUGUUUUUCAAAUAAAGCAUUUGAAAAAUCAUUGGUGCAAGAUGAUAUUUAUAAUGACAAGAAGGUUUCAUCUCAAUACACAUUCACAAAAAGGGCGGAUUGAAUAAGAGCACUCGUUUGAAAUCGAAAAGAAAAAGAUGAGUGUAAAUCUUACAUUUUUGCUGGCUAUGACCACUAUGUUGGCCUUGGAGGCAAAUGCUUCUAACAACAGAUGUCCUUCAGGACACUGGUGUACGAAAAGAGGCGUGCAGCUACAUUCGCUGAAACCAAAAAGUGAGGCGCGUGGGUGUCCCCUUGGAUACUGGUGCCAAGCGGCAGAUGAGGUCCUACGCGAUUUGGAAGGUGAUAUCAUACAGCGCAUUCAUGACGUGCAGAUUACGUGUCCAGUUGGAUUCCGGUGCAAGAGAAGUGUAGACGAUCUAAAUAGUUUACCAAAGCUCAUAAACUGCCCGCCUGGAUACUGGUGCAAGAAAUAGGGAGCGCUUUAAGAAAAUAUUUCUGAACUUUAUCUACUGUCUAAAAUAACAUUAUUACACUGUUAGCCAUAUAUUAAUUCCAACUUGUAUGCAUUAAUUAAUAAAUAUGAAUUAUAUAUUCAAAUCAUUUAAAGAUGCUUUCUUAAGCUUGAAUAUAAUAUAUAAUAUUUGUAUCUUUUUUUGCCUAACCUGGAUAAUAAAUUUUGAACUGAGAAAACCCAUACAUAUUUUGUUGUUUCUAUUAAAUUUACUAUUCAUUUCUUAAAUGGCCGAAAGGCUUACUUUUCUUUCUAGCUUUGACAAGAUAAUGUUGUUAUUGCACGACUUAUUAUUUAUAUCUUGUAUUAAAGUCAAAUUUACUUGUUAACAGAA